AUUGAACGCUGGCGGCAGGCCUAACACAUGCAAGUCGAGCGAGCGGCGGACGGGUGAGUAAUGUCUGGGAAACUGCCUGAUGGCGGGGGAUAACUACUGGAAAAGGUAGCUAAUACCGCAUACCAUCAGAUGUGCCCAGAUGGGAUUAGCUAGUAGGUGGGGUAACGGCUCACCUAGGCGAAGAUCCCUAGAUGGUCUGAGAGGAUGAACAGCAACACUGGAACGGAGACACGGUCCAGCCUCCUACGGGAGGCAGAAGUGGGGAAUAUUGCACCAUGGGCGAAAGCCUGAUGCAGCCAUGCCGCGUGUGUGAAGAAGGCCUUCGGGUUGUAAAGCACUUUCAGCGGGGAGGCGUUACCCGCAGAAGAAGGACCGGCUAACUCCGUGCCAGCAGCCGCGGUAAUUC
rnacentral:rRNA from 1 species